ensembl:lncRNA
CGAAGCGCGGCCGGCCCGGCCGGUUCGGGGGUGGGGGGGGGGUGCUGGGCCGCGCUCCGCCGCGCUCCUCGGGCGCCCCUCCUUUAGGGCCGUCGUUUACGGGACCGUCAGAUGGUCGGUUUGCUCAGAAAACCGUCCGUUCUGGCCGCGAGCAGGUGAGGUCGUUUGUGGAUAAGAUCGGGAUUAGGUGAGGUCGUCCGUGCGCUUCCUCCCGUGGUGGUGCCGUGUCACCACCCGGCCGCGCUCCGGGCGGGCUGAAAGCACGGCGGUGGUUCGCCUCAGGGCGCGGUGGCCCCGCGGCCGUCCCACCACAGUACGGGGCUGCGGGCACACGCGGUCAGCGGCGGCAGCGGCGCUCACUGCGUGUCAGAGCUCCCCAGGAGGUCGUUGUUUUUCCUUUCAGAGCCCUGAAAGAUACGGGGAGAGAAACCUGCGAGGAGAGUUUGCAGGAGUGCUGUGAGUGGUGCACGGAACGCCGCGCAGGAGAACGCUUUCCUCCUUCCCAAACGUGCCUUGGGAAAAGUAAUUUCUCAAGUAGUUGGUAAUUGCUGCCAGGUACUUAGUGAAAAUUUAUCUUCUCUUGGGGUUGCGAUUAAGAAAAGCCUUCUGAAAUUCCAGGGACGGAUGGUGAAUCUCUGGUGGAUUAAAAGAGCUGCCUGAGGCAGGGUCACGUUUCCAGGAGGGGAAGGAAAGGUGCUCUGGGUUUCGGUGUGGAUUCGGAGCUGGGGAGGUGAAGCAUCGCGAAAUUUGCUGUGCCUCAGCGGGGCACGGGGUGGAGAUAGCGGUUCAACUCCAGAUCCGUCAGAGCAGAGGGUUCCCACGCACGACGCAGCCUCUGUGAAGCGCAGAGCGCGGCGGCAGUUCCUAAGCUCCCGGGCUUUGUGAUGCUUUCAUAUCCCCGAGCGUGAGAUCCUCGCCCGUCAGCGUUUGUCAGCCGACUGCUGCCUCGCACUCGGCUGCACUGCAGUUUCUCGACCGUUUGAAAACUGUACUGCUCUUAAAUGCUUGGCGUUGUAGAUUCUUUCUCACUGAAUCUUACUAAACUAGAACGGGUUGCAGCGAGCUUGCAUUAAGAAUCCCCGCAGGGAUCCACGUGUAGGGAGGAGACUUGUUGCAGCCGGGGGCAUAGCCUGCGUCUGGGAACGUUUACAGCAUUCCCUGUGGGUGUCUGGGGAUGCACUGGGGUGCUUAGAAAGCGUGAGAGGAACUGCAGGAGAAGGAGCCAUAGAUCUCUGCAGUAGAGUGCAAAGAUAAUCAGCAUUUGAGUGCGGUGGCUAAUCUAGAAUUGCUAAUAAAAUUGAUAGGGAAUCAUAAAAUAAUUUAGAUUGGAAGGAACCUCUGGACUUGAAAGCGGGACUGGCCUCCAUUGCAUUGGGUUGCUCAGGGACAACGUCUCAAGCCUUUCCCGGACUGUUUGCUCAGCAAACCUUGUAGUGACGUAGCUCUUCCCAAAUAACCUCACUAAUUCCUUGCUUUGUCAGCCCGAUACGAGGGAUUCCACCCCCGUUCCGUGCACUCAGCAUGAGGAUCUUAAUCAAACCGCUGUGGCUGAUUGGAGUGGUCCAUAGUGUCUCUGUGACACCAGAAUUUAGGUUGUAUGGGUGAAGUUGGUUCUUUCUACUGAAUGUCUUCACAAACACAGGUCUAACCGGGCAGUGUUAGCUUUCUCUUAGCACUUAACACACCCCAAAAAUUAAAACCUCUUAUCUUCACUGCAGAAGUUUUUAUUUUCAGACUCGUUUGUUGCAAGUGAAGUUUUAUUUUAAUGUUUGGACUAAAUAUUUGAAAAAAUCGUCCUGACAUGCUGUGGCAAGAAUGUGUUUAUAGUAACAUUAAUUUGCUGUUUCUUCAUAAGCAGUUUUUCACUUCCCCUGUCAAACCCACGCACCACUGAGGUUUAUAGCUGGAAAUAAUCACCAAACGUGCAGUUCGUGGUCAUUUUUAACGUGCGUUUUCCCCGCUAUAGUCUCUUGAGAGUCAGUAGCAUUUACUACCAAAGACCACGUAUUCAGACAUUGGAACUGGAACAGGUUGCCCAAGGAGGCUGUGGAUGCCCCAUCCCUGGAGGCAUUCAAGGCCAGGCUGGAUGUGGCUCUGGGCAGUCUGGUCUGGUGGUUGGCGACGCUGCACAUAGCAGGGGG